rnacentral:rRNA from 1 species
GACGAACGCUGGCGGCGUGCUUAACACAUGCAAGUCGAACGGAAAGGCCCUGCUUUUGUGGGGUGCUCGAGUGGCGAACGGGUGAGUAACACGUGAGUAACCUGCCCUUGACUUUGGGAUAACUUCAGGAAACUGGGGCUAAUACCGGAUAGGAGCUCCUGCUGCGUGGUGGGGGUUGGAAAGUUUCGGCGGUUGGGGAUGGACUCGCGGCUUAUCAGCUUGUUGGUGGGGUAGUGGCUUACCAAUGCUUUGACGGGUAGCCGUACUGAGAGGGUGACCGGACACAUUGGGAAUGAGAUACGGCCCAGAGUGCUACGGGAGGCAGCAGUGGGGAAUAGUGCAAAAUGGGCGGAAGCCUGAUGCAGAAACGCCGCGUGCGGGAUGACGGCCUGCGGGUUGUAAACCGCUUCCGCCUGUGACGAAGCGUGAGUGACGGUAAUGGGUAAAGAAGCACCGGCUAACUACGUG